rnacentral:rRNA from 1 species
GGGUUCGAUUCCGGAGAGGGAGCCUGAGAAACGGCUACCNNNNNNNNNNAAGGCAGCAGGCGCGCAAAUUACCCAAUCCCGACACGGGGAGGUAGUGACAAUAAAUAACAAUACGGGGCUCUUUCGGGUCUCGUAAUUGGAAUGAGUACAAUUUAAAUCCCUUAACGAGGAACAAUUGGAGGGCAAGUCUGGUGCCAGCAGCCGCGGUAAUUCCAGCUCCAAUAGCGUAUAUUAAAGUUGUUGCAGUUAAAAAGCUCGUAGUUGAAUUUCGGGAUUGACGUGAUGGUCAUGCCUUAAGGGGUAUGAACUGUUACUGUUGAUUUCUCACCUUCUGGAGAAACUUGAUGUCCUUUAUUGGGUGUCUUGCGGAACCAGGACCUUUACCUUGAAAAAAUUAAAGUGUUUAAAGCAGGCAUUUUUGCUUGAAUACAUUAGCAUGGAAUAAUAGAAUAGGACGGNAUGGUUCUAUUUUGUUGGUUUCUAGGAUCACCGUAAUGAUUAAUAGGGA